AUUGAACGCUGGCGGCAUGCCUUACACAUGCAAGUCGAACGGUAGAGGGGGCAACCCCUUGAGAGUGGCGAACGGGUGAGUAAAGCAUCGGAACGUGCCCAGGAGUGGGGGAUAGCUCGGCGAAAGCCGGAUUAAUACCGCAUGUGACCUGAGGGUGAAAGCGGGGGACCGCAAGGCCCCGCGCUCGCGGAGCGGCCGAUGUCAGAUUAGGUAGUUGGUGGGGUAAAGGCCUACCAAGCCGACGAUCUGUAGCUGGUCUGAGAGGACGACCAGCCACACUGGGACUGAGACACGGCCCAGACUCCUACGGGAGGCAGCAGUGGGGAAUUUUGGACAAUGGGCGCAAGCCUGAUCCAGCCAUGCCGCGUGCGGGAAGAAGGCCUUCGGGUUGUAAACCGCUUUUGUCAGGGAAGAAAUCUGCCGGGUUAAUACCCUGGUGGGAUGACGGUACCUGGAGAAUAAGCACCGGCUAACUACGUGCCAGCAGCCGCCGUAA
rnacentral:rRNA from 1 species